CAGGACCGCUGAGUAGGCGGGCGACAGCCGCGCUCGGACCCCUGACAGGCUGACCGGACCUUCACCUCUAAAGGAAUAUCAUUCAAUCCAGAAGGUUGGUGUGAAGAUAAAAUAAGUUAAUGCUUGUGAAGUCCAUGGGAAACAGUGCUGGGAACCCAGUAAGUAAAUGCUCAGUAAAUAGAAUAUGCUGCCGUCCCUUAACUGGUUGAUCCUUUCAACAGAUACUUAAUGCAUUGAGCCCUAUCCAUGUACCUGUUCACAGACUCGUUCUGUCAGUAAACAGUUUUUGCUGCACUCCUCUGGUUAAACGGCCUGUCCACUUUUACCAUCCCUGUUUUAGCAGAGAGGAAACUGAAGCUCUGGGAGGUGAGGCUACUUGUCCGGGGUCGCCCAGACAGUAAAUGGCUGAGUGGAGAUCCACCUCCAACCUGACUUCAGAGCCUGUGCUCUGCCAGCAGGGAGUCAUCAGCUGUCAGGAUGGGUCGGAGGAGGCACUUUGAGAGUCAAACACUUUCAAGUUGGUUCUUGAAAGAGCCUGCAAGGAGGAAGCUUAUUUCAGGCAGAGGGAAGGAAGUGUGCGUAAAGACACAUGAUAGCGGAUGGGAUGGCUGGUUGGCGUGACUGGUGGAGCGGGAAUAUGGGAGACUGUGGAUGUGGUGAUGAUGGUUCUGAAGGAGGUCUUUGUGUAGCUAGAAUGACAAUUAAUGUCCUUGUAUGUAAUUUAUUUUAUAGGCCAGUGGUUUUCAUAGUAUGUAGUUCUGGUACUCCUUGGUGUCCCUGAGAUCUUUCAGAGGUCAGUGAGCUCAAAAUUAUUUUCAAAUUAAUGCUAAAUGUGAUUUGCUUUUUUCACUGUGAUUCUCUCAUGAGUGUACGGUGACGUUUUCCAUAGACUACAGGACAGAUGAUAUUUCAACACAUUAAAUGCGGAAACAGAUUUGAGAAUCCAGCUGUCUUCUUUAAGCCAAGUGUUAAAAAAACUUGUACAAAUGUUAGACACCACUUUUCUCAUCAAUAUUUUGUUUUAGAAAUUAUGGAAAUUUUUUAUUAAAAUGUGAUCAUGUUAACAUGUAAUGUGUUUAUUGUACUUUUAAGUGAAUUAACAAAAUUUUAGAAGUUUCUGUUUUAAUUCCUAACAUGGUAAGUAAUGUUAGAAGUAACAAACAGUACAUGAAAAAUCUCUUCAAGUUCCUCCAUAAUUUUUAGAGUGGAAAGGGGUCCUGAGCCCAAAAGGCUUAUGAAUACCUGCAAUAGCCUGUAAGAGGCUAUUGAAGUUUUAAGUAGGAGAGUGACUAAAUCAGAUUUUCGUUUCAGAAAGAGCUUUCAAGAUCCAAGCCCAGCCUGGAGGGGUGCGUUCACAAGGCCUAGGCAUGCUAGACAGAAGGAUAGAAACAGAAGUGCAGGCUGAAGGCGAUGGCACCCCACUCCAGUACUCUCGCCUGG